GAAAAUUGUUGAGCCUGCGUGGGGUGAGGCUCUCGGGAAUGUGACCUUUGAUGUGAGCCGGUGACUUAAGGCAGUCCAGGGUGAGAUAAGACACGGAUGAAACCAUACGUGCCCUGGCUGACCUUUUAGAUGUUGUUGAUUGUCUGGGUCCAUAAAGGGAGGGUCACCCCUACAUCAUUUGGUACUUUUCCAACACUCCUCUUUGAGGGGUGGGCUGUCCUGUCCUGAGGCACCACAAACCUCUCUGAAGUGUAUAUAAGCUCCUGUUCUCCUCUUCAACUUUGUCAGAUCUUCCUGCUCCUUUUGGGGGAAGGAACCUCUGUCCCUUUUCAGCUGAAUUGUAGUCAUUUGACUUCUGUCUGUGCUUACGACUUGUGCUGAUGAUUUCUGUAUUCUUUAUCUUUUUUCUAUAUUCUAGUUAGUAAUAAAUACUUAAUCACAAAGCAAGCUCAAGAUACUUUUGAUUUCUCACAUGGGCUAAAUCCACAAAUUUCCACCACAAACUUGGCGACGAGGAUGGGAUGGACGCGUGAUCUGGACUCUGACGGACGGACAGGAGGCCAUAUAGUAUAGGUGAUUCCUCCCUGAGGGUGAGAAGCUGCCGUCCCGACGAGACCCGGAUUGCCGAUCCAUCCAGUUCAAGAAAAAGAAACGACGAACACGCGGUGAGAGAUCAAAAUUAUUUUAAAGGCAGACAGAGUCAUUGACAAAAGGGUUUUAGGCCUAUCUCACAACGAGUGUGUUGUAGACAGACGUGUCUGGGUCACCUGUAGUAUUUUCUCAAGUUGCAUAUCCUGUGUCUCCUGAAAAUUCACAGGCCAACUUUGGAUAAAUGCAGUAGACUGAGUGGCCAGAGAAAGCAACGGUCACUGACUUGCCUUGGUUAUACGUGUGGUAUUUCUCCGUUUGUGCGCACCUUUAUAGGCGCGUACACUCCUUGCAUACAGAUACAGAUAACUGGAAUGGGUAGUGUUCAGAGUAAAGGGGAGAUGGGUGAAAACCAUGAGACUAAUAUCCUGCCACUAUUGUGUAAAUUUAUGUCAGAGCGUUAUCCUGGCAGUUUGAAUCAAAUACAAAAAUGGGUUGAAUUGGGGUUUCCUUCAAAAGGGAGUUUGAGUAAGAAUCAAUUGGAGCAGUUGGAAUUGCAACUGAGGGGGAAGGAGAAGAACGAUGCAGCUCAGCAUGCAGGCCUGUCGGGAAGAAAGCAGAAAAAGAAUGUGGUAUGUAAGGCAGAUUGGGAAGCUUUCAAUAUGUGGAAGUAUGAGUCGGAGAGAAGGGAGAGACAGAGGUUGGUAGCAUUUAAUUCAUUAAAGACCAAAGAUCCUACAAAAAGUUCUGAAACGUGUACCCCUUCUAACCCAAAAACACUUUAUCCUUGUUUUUAUGAGUUCCCGAGGAGAUUGGUGGACACGGAUCUGGACUCCCCCCCUCCCCUCACUGCUCCUCCAGCUCCCGCCUUCAUGAGCCCGCAGUCUCCUCAGCAGGAAGCAGCACAAACAACCUUUCCUCGGCUUGACAACAGCCCACCAGGAGGGAAGCCAGAUUCAACCUCCAACACCAGCCAGACGACCUUUUCACCUACUGUGACCCGCUCGCAGGCUCAACAAAGACGGGUCUUGCUCAGAGAAGGGAAAAAGACGUUGGUCGAUCCUGCAGCUUCUUUUCCAGUGGAGGGGGCGCAAGGGCCGAUGCUGGUUCUCAGACCCUGGUCAGAUACCGAUGUGACCAAGGCAAUGAGCCACGUCUGCAGUCCCAAGGACAAUCUUGCUAAGUGGGAGACUGAUUUUCAGCAAUUUGUCAGAAAAUACCAUCCUAGCAUGUCAGAGCUGCGGCAUCUGAUGUGCAGACUUCUGACACAUGACUAUCACAAGGUUCAGAGUGUGUUCAACACCACAAGAAUGGCUGCUCGCCUUAAAGAUCCUGAUUGUGAGCACGGCACAGAUAUGGACAUUAGAAGUGCUGUAGAUGCUCUCAUUGUGUUGGUAAAAGAACAAUUUCCUCUGAGACUGAACCUCCCCACCGUCACCUCUAUGACACAAGGGCCACAAGAAACAUGCAGCUCAUUCCUGGGACGCCUGACGACAGCUUUUGACACCCACAGUGGCCUUAAGCGACCUGAUCCAAUGGGGGCACAGCCCCUGAUGCCAUAUGAAGUCCAUCUGAAAGAACAUUUUAUAAGCAGAAUGAGACCUGAACUUAAACGGAUGGUGAAAAGAUCAUGUGUAACCUGGAAAACCUGUGCUCUUGCAGACAUCCUUCAGCACGCUGAACACGCUGAAGAUGAGUUACACAAGAAAAAGGACAAACUAAAAGGACAUUGGCGAGCAGAGUGUCCUGAGCACAUGAGGAUGAGACACAUCACACCUCUGACUGAGGAAGGCAGAGGGAGGGGCGGACCCCAGAGACGGAGCACCCCAUCACAGAGGAGAAAGUAACGCACCCUACACACACUCAUAAACGAAACAAAAUAGUUGUGCACACACGCACACACACACAUCUUAGAUUGCAUGUCGAGUUAUAUUCAGAAAUUCCCAUAAUUAACGUUGACGAUUUGCCAUCCGGUAACACUUGUAGUUGACUCAAGAGCAUUUGGCAUUGUGUUUGAGCUCAACAUCAGAUGGCACACACGAAAAAGAAAAAAAAAAGAAAAAAAAAGAAAAGAUUAAAUUGCAAUUAUUUUAGAUGUUUAACUACAGUCCAAAAACCCUCCUGUAUGUAUAUGGAUGAAAACUACUGGCAUACUUUGAUGCAUUAAUUACUCAUGACCAUGUAAAAUUGCGCAGACACAUACGGUAGAAGAUUACAUGCAUGAACAGUCAUUACAUUGCACAUUCCAUGUAAGCACAGGGCGAGAUAGAAGGUAUGUGGACGUAUGGCAUGACCAAAAGUUGGAGAAAGAGAGAUUAUGGUUGAAGCAUGUGUAUUGGUCAGAGGAGGCUGCUGCGGUGUCUGUAUCUCUCUCUCCUUCCCAAAGGAAAAAAAAAAAAAAAAGGUGUUCCUCGAUUCUACUCCACAUUUCAUUGGCUAAACCAUCUCACUGGGAUACAGGAUCUUGGUCCAUGGUUGCAUGGGUGUGUCUCGGCCUAAAGUUCAGACCGGGUGCAGAGGAUCCUCAUGAAGAGUAUAGCGCUGGUGGUAAUGUAGAUCACACUACGUUGAUCACACGAGUAAGUGUACACAGAACAGUAGAGCUCGUUGAGGAAUACACACAACACGCAGACUUGUAUAGCCUCCCAAACAAGAAGACAUAAGUUGGUUUUUUUUUUUUUUUUUUUUUCUUUUUUGGGCGCGGCUAUAAAUGGAUAGGAUGUCCAGUGGGUUACCACAGAAGUCAGGUGUAUUCCACAGAAGCGCUUAGGAACAUCUACAUAAUUUAUAACUCCCUGCAGGGUCGGCCCAUCUAAAUUAUGUGGCUGAUAUGAUGAUUUGCAGCCCAUCGAAGGAGGCUUGUAAAAUUGGUACAAUUUCGCUACUUAAACAUUUGGCAGAGAACAGAAAUAAGGCUUGCCUACGAAAAACUUAAAUUUGCUCUAGAACAAGUUAUCUGGGACAUGUGAUCACAGCUGAGGGCAAAAUCCCUCUCUCCCAAACGUAUUGGGGCAAUUCAAUUGGUACCAAAAACAAAAAAAACAAAAAAAAAAC
ensembl:lncRNA